GUGGGGAAUAUUGGACAAUGGGCGAAAGCCUGAUCCAGCCAUGCCGCGUGUGUGAAGAAGGUCUUCGGAUUGUAAAGCACUUUAAGUUGGGAGGAAGGGCAGUAAGUUAAUACCUUGCUGUUUUGACGUUACCAACAGAAUAAGCACCGGCUAACUUCGUGCCAGCAGCCGCGGUAAUACGAAGGGUGCAAGCGUUAAUCGGAAUUACUGGGCGUAAAGCGCGCGUAGGUGGUUCAGCAAGUUGAAGGUGAAAUCCCCGGGCUCAACCUGGGAACUGCCUCCAAAACUACUGAGCUAGAGUACGGUAGAGGGUAGUGGAAUUUCCUGUGUAGCGGUGAAAUGCGUAGAUAUAGGAAGGAACACCAGUGGCGAAGGCGACUACCUGGACUGAUACUGACACUGAGGUGCGAAAGCGUGGGGAGCAAACAGGAUUAGAUACCCGAGUAGUCA
rnacentral:rRNA from 1 species